GUAGGUGGCAAGCGUUGUCCGGAAUUAUUGGGCGUAAAGCGCGCGCAGGUGGUUCUUUAAGUCUGAUGUGAAAGCCCCCGGCUCAACCGGGGAGGGUCAUUGGAAACUGGGGAACUUGAGUGCAGGAGAGGAAAGUGGAAUUCCACGUGUAGCGGUGAAAUGCGUAGAUAUGUGGAGGAACGCCAGUGGCGAAGGCGACUUUCUGGCCUGUAGCUGACACUGAGGCGCGAAAGCGUGGGGAGCAAACAGGGAUUAGAUACCCUGGUAGUCCACGCCGUAAACGAUGAGUGCUAAGUGUUGGGGGGGUUUCCGCCCCCUCAGUGCUGCAGCUAACGCAUUAAGCACUCCGCCUGGGAGUACGGUCGCAAGACUG
rnacentral:rRNA from 1 species